rnacentral:rRNA from 1 species
UACAGGGGGUGCAAACGUUGCUCGGAAUCAUUGGGCGUAAAGCGCACGUAGGCGGUUCGUUAUGUCGGAUGUGAAAGCCCUUGGCUUAACCGAGGAAGUGCAUCCGAAACUGGCGAGCUAGAGUACUAAAGAGGAUCGCGGAAUUCCCGGUGUAGAGGUGAAAUUCGUAGAUAUCGGGAGGAACACCGGUGGCGAAGGCGGCGCUCUGGACCGAGACUGACGCUGAGGCGCGAAAGCGUGGGGAGCAAACAGG